GGAGGGAGAUUAAGCAAAAUGGCUAUGCCAGAGGACCAAAAACAUCCUAUGAUUCUUCCAAAACACCAUCAUGUGUCCAAACUGGUGUUGAAACACAUUCAUGAACAACUUGGCCACUGUGGAAGGAAUCACAUGUUAGCCAAGCUGCGACAGCAAUACUGGAUUCCAGCAGCAAAUUCCCUUGCUAGAAAAAUACGGUCUGAGUGUGUGUUCUGCAAACGCUUACAUUCAAACCUAGGAGAACAAAAAAUGGCAGACUUACCAAAAGAAAGAAUAACACCAGAUUUACCACCAUUUACCUUUGUUGGAGCAGACUUCUUUGGUCCAAUUGUAGUAAAAAGAGGACGCAGUGAAGUGAAAAGAUAUGGUGUCAUCUUUACCUGUUUCACAACUCGAGCAAUACAUUUGGAAAUAGCCAAUUCACUUGACACUGAUUCAUGCAUCAAUGCAAUCCGCAGAUUCAUAUGCAGACGAGGGCAAGUGCGUCAAAUAAGAUCUGACAAUGGAACUAACCUGACAUCAGCUGACUCUGAACUAAAGAAGGCCAUAAAAGAGUGGAACCAAAACCACAAACUCCAAGUUGCUCUGCAACAAAAGGGCAUAGAAUGGAUUUUCAACCCACCUGCCGCUUCACACUUUGGAGGAGUAUGGGAGAGGUUAAUAAAACAGGUCAAACAAACACUUCUAUCACUAACAAAGGAUCAAAUUCUAGAUGAUGAAUCUCUUCACACUUUCAUCUGUGAGGUAGAAGCCAUAAUGAAUAGUCGCCCACUUACCACAAAUCCGGAUAGUCCAAAUGACCUUGAACCUUUAACGCCCAACCACCUUUUACUUCUUAAAGGGCAACCUACAUUACCACCUGGCUUAUUUCAGAAAUCAGACACGUAUAGUAGACGUAGAUGGAAGCAAAUACAAUACUUAGCUGAUAUAUUUUGGAAAAGAUGGGUUAGAGAAUAUCUUCCAAACCUACAAGAGAGACAGAAAUGGUUUAAAAAGAAAAGAAACUAUGCAAAUGGUGACAUUGUGUUAAUUGCAGACCCUACUGCCCCUAGGGGAUCUUGGAUGUUAGGGAAGGUUAUUGACACAAAGAAAGAUUCAAAGGGAAUUGUUCGUAGUUUGACUUUAAAAACAAAGACAAGUGUUAUAGACAGACCAAUUACAAAGGUUUGUUUAUUGAUGGAAAAUGACAUGUAGAUAUGAAUGACCAAUGUAUAUGUGAUGAUUACUUUACCUUGUAAGAACUUAUAUGUACUGAUCUUUACAAGCGCACAAUGGACCAAGGACUAUUCGAGCAAGAAAUUUCUUGCAACGUGCACACAUGCGCGUAUACACAUAAAUACACACUGAAAUUGACCUUUGAAUGCACAAAUGCCUCUUGUGGCAUAAUGGACUCAUGUUUUGUUGUUUACAUUAUAUAUUGAACAAGAAGGACUCUAAAAAAGAACUAUUGAUGAACUUUAAUUCGAACUGAUAUUGUUGAAUGAACUGAAAAAUUUGAUAUUUUUAUUUGAAACAAACAUUUAUGUAUUGUAUACGUGUGAAUGAUUCUGAUUAUUGAUGAUUUGACAAAUUUAUCUUUUCUGUGUAUAUUAUAAUGUAUGGCUCCAUGUUUUCUGUUUAGUUAUUAUUGUACCUAUAUAGCCGGUAGCAAUAAGAGGGCCGGUGUGUAGGAGCCAUAGGAGCCAGCCA
ensembl:lncRNA